rnacentral:tRNA from 1 species
GGAGGGUAUGCGAAUGGCUAGCGGCCGCACUGGAAAUGCGGUGCCGGGAAACCGGUUGCGGGUUCGACUCCCGUGCCCUCCG